rnacentral:rRNA from 1 species
AAGUGGAGCAAUCCAUGAGUAAAGUGGCGCACGGGUGAGUAACACGUGACUAACCUACCCUGGAGUGGGGGAUAACUGAGGGAAACCUUAGCUAAUACCGCAUAAUACCUAAGGGUCAAAGGAGCAAUUCGCUUUGGGAGGGGGUCGCGGCCGAUUAGUUAGUUGGCGGGGUAAUGGCCCACCAAGACUGUGAUCGGUAUCCGGCCUGAGAGGGCGCACGGACACACUGGAACUGAAACACGGUCCAGACUCCUACGGGAGGCAGCAGUGGGGAAUUUUGCGCAAUGGGGGAAACCCUGACGCAGCAACGCCGCGUGGAGGAUGAAGUACUUCGGU